rnacentral:rRNA from 1 species
AUUGAACGCUGGCGGCAUGCUUUACACAUGCAAGUCGAACGGUAACAGGGACUUCGGUCUGCUGACGAGUGGCGAACGGGUGAGUAACAUAUCGGAACGUGCCCAGUAAUGGGGGAUAGCUCGGCGAAAGCCGGAUUAAUACCGCAUACGCCCUGAGGGGGAAAGUGGGGGAUCUUCGGACCUCACGUUAUUGGAGCGGCCGAUAUCAGAUUAGCUAGUUGGUGGGGUAAAGGCCUACCAAGGCGACGAUCUGUAGCUGGUCUGAGAGGAUGAUCAGCCACACUGGGACUGAGACACGGCCCAGACUCCUACGGGAGGCAGCAGUGGGGAAUAUUGGACAAUGGGCGAAAGCCUGAUCCAGCAAUGCCGCGUGUGUGAAGAAGGCCUGAGGGUUGUAAAGCUCUUUCGGCCGGGAAGAAAUCGCACAGGUUAAUACCCUGUGUGGAUGACGGUACCGGAAUAAGAAGCACCGGCUAACUACGUGCCAGCAGCCGACGG